AGAAGCUAAAGCCCCCCAACGAACAGUCUAUCUACAUGUAACCGCCCCGAGAUGGCGAGAUGACGAUCGUACAUUACCUCUGACGUAGCUCCACAAGAACCGGAUCAAUCCCUGCAAAAUUGCCCACAGAGCUUGGAACAUAACCGGGAGAGCUAGCAGCCUAGCACAAUCUAUCCAAUCACCGAUCCAAUCUGCUCAAGGCCACUAGCCGUCUACCCCAACGGAGGCGUCACCCUUGGCACACACUCAGAAUUCCCUCUCGUCAGGUUAGGUGGAUUGAAAGAUGGAGGUAGCACACCAGGCUCAAACAAUUAGGCAGUCCCGAAGGUGGCAAGGAGGGAAGGAGCCCAUUGAGAUGAUAGGCAAGGUUCGGCAACGACAUAAAGGUCCACAUGGAUGACUUCCCGGCUACUGCUUCUACAAGCUCCCAAGUUUAGAAAAAUUUGCUCCACUGGGCCUUAGAGGUGGCAUCGAGCUAUGCUCACGGUAUGUCGCCGAUGGAUUGGAGGAAGAAGAAUUUGUCACCUAAAAGAUUUCAAAGUAAUUUAUUUGUGCGGGCGUGCUUGUAAGGACCUUGAGAAGUAAAUGAACUAAUUGACUGACUCGGUCUACA